rnacentral:rRNA from 1 species
UACAGAGGGGGCAAGCGUUAUUCGGAAUUAUUGGGCGUAAAGGGCGCGUAGGCGGCGAUUCAAGUGGCGGGUGAAAUCCCUCGGCUUAACCGAGGAACUGCCUGCCAGACUGGAUUGCUUGAGUCCGGGGAGAGGUGAGUGGAAUUCCCAGUGUAGCGGUAGAAAUGCGUAGAUAUUGGGAGGAACACCAGUGGCGAAGGCGGCUCACUGGACCGGAACUGACGCUGAGGCGCGAAAGCGUGGGGAGCAAACAGG